GGUUCUAUUGGGGAAAUCCCUAACUGGAAUAGUGAAGUUUUACCCGUAUGGGCCCAAUGCAGACUUUUCGUAAUCAAAUAGUGUGUGUGUGUGUGUGUCUGAUUUUUUAAUGUGCACACUAAAAAAAUAUAUCUAUAUCUAGUAAUAUUUAAUCACACAUAGAAUCUAAAGUUAAAGGAGAACAUAUUUGUUUUUUUGUUGUUUUUUUUUUAGAUUUAGAUUUUUAAAAAAAGUUUUAUACAUUUUAACAUUUUUUUCGACCAAUGAAAAAGAAGCAUUUAUUUCUUUUAAGCUCGCGAUAUUCGGCACAAACUGGAUUAUUCAGUCUUCACUCUAGAGCGUACACACGUGGAUCAAAUUAGAGCUACCUAGAUCUAGAUCUAAAUCUAGUUGAAGAUAUCUACUUGGUAGUCUAAACCUCAAAGGAGCUUAGGGAAGUGAUGGCAGUUGCAGGGUAUGAACCAGACGACCAUGCAGAGACCAACGAGGCGACCAAACAGUCCAUCGUGCAUACCACAUAACCAGGUCCAGAAUGCCAGUUUUCUUUAAGGGCAGCUGACAAUAAGAAUUGUCUAUGUAUGCACUACAGAUGCUGUUCAAUAUCUUUUCAUGAGGAAGCCUGCUCAAAAAGAUCGCCACAUUUACUUUAGGGGAAGUUGACAUUAAUCUUUUAGGUUAAUAAUAACCUAUGCAUGCAGUACAGAUGCUGUUCAUCAUCUUUUCAUAAGCAAGCCUGCUCAAGAAGCUGCUGCAUGGAAGUCAAAAUAUGAAUUAUUGCCACCAGUCUUGAAGUCAGCUUGUAAAGAAUGCUAAGAAUUGAAUGAAAAUGCUGUCUUGAUAUCUUGUUUGUGCUGUUAUAUUUGUCUUUUGUGUUGGUUAAUUAUUCCAUGAAUAAAAAAUAAAAAAAAGUUAA